GUGACAUACCACUUGUUGCCUCGGCGGAUCAGCCCGCUCCCGGUAAAACGGGACGGCCCGCCAGAGGACCCCUAAACUCUGUUUCUAUAUGUAACUUCUGAGUAAAACCAUAAAUAAAUCAAAACUUUCAACAACGGAUCUCUUGGUUCUGGCAUCGAUGAAGAACGCAGCAAAAUGCGAUAAGUAAUGUGAAUUGCAGAAUUCAGUGAAUCAUCGAAUCUUUGAACGCACAUUGCGCCCGCCAGUAUUCUGGCGGGCAUGCCUGUUCGAGCGUCAUUUCAACCCUCAAGCACAGCUUGGUGUUGGGACUCGCGUUAAUUCGCGUUCCCCAAAUUGAUUGGCGGUCACGUCGAGCUUCCAUAGCGUAGUAGUAAAACCCUCGUUACUGGUAAUCGUCGCGGCCACGCCGUUAAACCCCAACUUCUGAAUGUUGACCUCGGAUCAGGUAGGAAUACCCGCUGAACUUAA
rnacentral:rRNA from 1 species